UACGUAGGGUCCGAGCGUUGUCCGGAAUUAUUGGGCGUAAAGGGCUCGUAGGCGGUCCGUCACGUCGGGAGUGAAACUCAGGGCUCAACCCUGAGCGUGCUUCCGAUACGGGCGGACUAGAGGUAUGCAGGGGAGAACGGAAUUCCUGGUGUAGCGGUGGAAUGCGCAGAUAUCAGGAGGAACACCGGUGGCGAAGGCGGUUCUCUGGGCAUUACCUGACGCUGAGGAGCGAAAGCAUGGGGAGAACAGGAUUAGAUUACCCCUG
rnacentral:rRNA from 1 species